UACGGGGGGGCAAGCGUUGUUCGGAAUUACUGGGCGUAAAGGGCUCGUAGGCGGCCAACUAAGUCGGAUGUGAAAUCCCCAGGCUUAACCUGGGAACUGCAUCCGAUACUGGAUGGCUUGAAUUCGGGAGAGGGAUGCAGAAUUCCAGGUGUAGCGGUGAAAUGCGUAGAUAUCUGGAGGAAUACCGGUGGCGAAGGCGGCAUCCUGGACCGAGAUUGACGCUGAUGAGCGAAAGCUAGGGGAGCAACAGGGGAUUAA
rnacentral:rRNA from 1 species